rnacentral:tRNA from 1 species
GUGAGUAUAGCUCAGUGGUAGAGCACGUACCCAGCAUGCACAAGGUCCUGGGUUCUAUUCCAGUACCCCCA